rnacentral:rRNA from 1 species
GAUGAACGCUGGCGGCGUGCCUAAAACAUGCAAGUCGAGCGGUGAGGCUCUGCACUUAGUGUUUGAUCGCAGUAAUCCUUUGGAUUAUUACAGUAGACCAAUCUGAACCUUGGCGGGGAAGUGCGGAAUAGGAAGAUCGAAUCAUAAGUGUAGAGUACACGAGCGGCGGACGGGUGAGUAACACGUGGGAACCUACCCCAGAUUGAGGGAUAAGCACCGGAAACGGUGUCUAAUACCGCAUAUGGUCUUCGGAUUAAAGCUUCGGCGAUCUGGGAAGGCCCGCGCAAGAUUAGCUAGUUGGUGAGGUUAAGGCUCACCAAGGCUACGAUCUUUAGCUGGUUUGAGAGGAUGAUCAGCCACACUGGAACUGAGACACGGUCCAGACUCCUACGGGAGGCAGCAGUUAGGAAUUUUCCACAAUGGCGAAAGCCUGAUGGAGCAACGCCGCGUGCAGGACGAAGGCCUUCGGGUUGUAAACUGCUUUAUACGUGACGAAUAUGACGGUA